rnacentral:lncRNA from 1 species
CGUUUUCCACUAGGUUGAAAGCUGACAAUAAGUUAAUUUAAGAAUGAUUUCUUCAACUUUAGAAGUUGUAUUUAGACUCCAAAACUGUUACCAGUUAUAAUUGAAAUUGAACAAAAAAAAAAAACUGAUAAUAAUUAAAAUCAAUCAUGUACAUUUAAUAGAAAUUAAACAACAAAAUUAAAAAAUAUAUAUAUAACUAAAAUUCAAAAAAAUUGUUCUCAUAUGAAAAAAAAUUCCUACAACAACAUUCAUAAAAUUAUUAAGAAGAGAAAAAUUAAAAAAAUAAUAAGAAAACAAAUAUAAUGAAAAAAACACAAAAAAAAA